CAAUGUAUCAAGUGAAUAAAUAGAAGAAAAUACCUGGGACCUUUAUGAUAUGUUCUGUAUCAAAAAAGAAAAAAGGACAAAAAGAAAGGAGUGAGAAGGAAACACUUAUUCCUGAAAUACAUUUACUUUAUGAUGCAGGAAAAACAAAGAAAAGAAAAUAGGUGUUUUCCAGUUUCAACGAGAUGUAAUAUUUAGGAAGUAAGAACAUACUGAGGUAAGCAUAGAAUACAAAUAAAUGAAACCCACAGUAGAUCAUAGCAAAAUUGAUUCUUUGAAGAUAGUUUUAAUUAAACAGAAGAGAAACUUGAGACAUAUUUCAGGGUUCUUUUUGGACAAAGGAUAUUAUAAAGGAUAAAACAAAGCAUAUUACAUAUUUUUUCAGUAUUUAAGAAAUACUAUA
rnacentral:lncRNA from 1 species